GACGAACGCUGGCGGCGUGCCUAAUACAUGCAAGUUGAGCGCUGAAGGUUGGUACUUGUACCAACUGGAUGAGCAGCGAACGGGUGAGUAACGCGUGGGGAAUCUGCCUUUGAGCGGGGGACAACAUUUGGAAACGAAUGCUAAUACCGCAUAAAAACUUUAAACACAAGUUUUAAGUUUGAAAGAUGCAAUUGCAUCACUCAAAGAUGAUCCCGCGUUGUAUUAGCUAGUUGGUGAGGUAAAGGCUCACCAAGGCGAUGAUACAUAGCCGACCUGAGAGGGUGAUCGGCCACAGUGGGACUGAGACACGGCCCAAACUCCUACGGGAGGCAGCAGUAGGGAAUCUUCGGCAAUGGACGAAAGUCUGACCGAGCAACGCCGCGUGAGUGAAGAAGGUUGUCGGAUCGUAAAACUCUGUUGGUAGAGAAGAACGUUGGUGAGAGUGGAAAGCUCAUCAAGUGACGGUAACUACCCAGAAAGGGACGGCUAACCACGUG
rnacentral:rRNA from 1 species